CCUACGGGAGGCAGCAGUAAGGAAUAUUGGUCAAUGGGCGCAAGCCUGAACCAGCCAUGCCGCGUGCAGGAAGACGGCCCUAUGGGUUGUAAACUGCUUUUGAACAAGAGAAAACCUCGGUACGUGUACCGAGCUGAUAGUAUUGUUAGAAUAAGCAUCGGCUAACUUCGUGCCAGCAGCCGCGGUAAGACGAAGGAUGCAAGCGUUAUCCGGAUUCAUUGGGUUUAAAGGGUGCGUAGGCGGACCGAUAAGUCAGUGGUGAAAUCUCUCAGCUUAACUGAGAAACUGCCAUUGAUACUGUCAGUCUAGAGUAUAGAUGAUGUGGGCGGAAUAUGACAUGUAGUGGUGAAAUACUUAGAUAUGUCAUAGAACACCGAUUGCGAAGGCAGCUCACAAAACUAUAACUGACGCUGAGGCACGAAAGUGCGGGGAUCAAACAGGAUUAGAUACCCUGGUAGUCCGCACCGUAAACGAUGAUUACUCGUUGUUGGCAAUAUGACCGUCAGCGACCAAGCGAAAGCGAUAAGAAUCCACCUGGGGAGUACGCCGGCAACGGUGAAACUCAAAANAGAGUUAGACGCGNGAGGAGNGCCGACGGACGACGACGAGGGAGGAGG
rnacentral:rRNA from 1 species